AGAAGAUGACGAGCGGCGGACGGGUGAGUAAUGCUUGGGAACAUACCUUGAGGUGGGGGACAACAGUUGGAAACGACUGCUAAUACCGCAUAAUGUCUACGGACCAAAGGGGGCUUCGGCUCUCGCCUUUAGAUUGGCCCAAGUGGGAUUAGCUAGUUGGUGAGGUAAUGGCUCACCAAGGCGACGAUCCCUAGCUGGUUUGAGAGGAUGAUCAGCCACACUGGGACUGAGACGCGGCCCAGACUCCUACGGGAGGCAGCAGUGGGGAAUAUUGCACAAUGGGCGGAAGCCUGAUGCAGCCAUGCCGCGUGUGUGAAGAAGGCCUUCGGGUUGUAAAGCACUUUCAGUCAGGAGGAAAGGUUAGUAGUUAAUACCUGCUAGCUGUGACGUUACUGACAGAAGAAGCACCGGCUAACUCCGUGCCAGCAGCCGCGGUAAUACGGAGGGUGCGAGCGUUAAUCGGAAUUACUGGGCGUAAAGCGUACGCAGGCGGUUUGUUAAGCGAGAUGUGAAAGCCCCGGGCUCAACCUGGGAACUGCAUUUCGAACUGGCAAACUAGAGUGUGAUAGAGGGUGGUAGAAUUUCAGGUGUAGCGGUGAAAUGCGUAGAGAUCUGAAGGAAUACCGAUGGCGAAGGCAGCCACCUGGGUCAACACUGACGCUCAUGUACGAAAGCGUGGGGAGCAAACAGGAUUAGAUACCCUGGUAG
rnacentral:rRNA from 1 species